rnacentral:rRNA from 1 species
GACGAACGCUGGCGGCGUGCUUAACACAUGCAAGUCGAACGAACAGACCAGGAUCUUGCUCCGCUGACGUUAGCGGCGGACGGGAGAUACACAUGUGUAUAACCUACCUAACAGACUGGGAUACUUACGGGAAACGGGAGCUAAUAGCGGAUAAUAUAUUGAACCAUGUUGUUCAAUAGUGAGAUUCGGUUGUUGUGUCUGUAAUAGCUGGUUCCGCGCCGCAUUCGCUAGUUGGUAAGGAAACGGCUUACCAAGGCGACGAUGCGUAGCCGACCUCAGAGCGUGAUAGCCCACACUGGAUGUGAGACGCAGCCCAGACUCCUACGGGAGGCAGCAGUCGGGAAUCUUACGCAAUGGGGGAGAGCCUGACGGAGCAACGCGGCGGGAGUGAUGAAGGUGCUCUGAGCGGAAAACUAUGAUAUUCGGGAAAAACAAAUGUGUAAGUAACUGUGCACGUCUUGACGGUACCUGAUCAAAAAGCCCCGGCUAACUACGUG